UAGUACACUUAAAUUUAAUUUAUAAAUAUUAGAAUAUUAAGAGUUAUAUUCUUUAAAUUUAAAAAAUUUGGCGGUGUUUUAGUCUAGUUAGAGGAACCUGUAUUAUAAACGACAUAACACGCAUUAUUUUACUUAUUUUGGUAAGCAGUUUGUAUACCGUCAUUAUUAGAUAAUUUAUGAGAAAAUAUUAUUGGGAUCAUAUUAUUGAGUAUAUUAGAUCAAGGUGCAGCUUAUAAAUAAGUAGAUAUGGGUUACAAUAAAAUUUAUUUAAUAUGGAUUUAAUAUUUAAAUAUGUUUAUGAAGGAGGAUUUAAUUGUAAGGAAAGGAGUAGUAAGAUUUUCUGAUAAAAGCUCUAAAUUAU
rnacentral:rRNA from 1 species